rnacentral:rRNA from 1 species
CAGCCGCCGCGGUAAUACGUAGGUGGCAAGCGUUGUCCGGAAUUAUUGGGCGUAAAGGGCUCGCAGGCGGUUUCUUAAGUCUGAUGUGAAAGCCCCCGGCUCAACCGGGGAGGGUCAUUGGAAACUGGGAAACUUGAGUGCAGAAGAGGAGAGUGGAAUUCCACGUGUAGCGGUGAAAUGCGUAGAGAUGCGGAGGAACACCAGUGGCGAAGGCGACUCUCUGGUCUGUAACUGACGCUGGGGAGCGAAAGCGUGGGGAGCGAACAGGAUUAGAUACCCCGGUAGUCCCUGUCUCUUAUAU